rnacentral:tRNA from 1 species
GGGGCUGUAGUUCAGUGGGAGAACGCUUGACUGGCAGUCAAGAGGUCAGGGGUUCAAAUCCCCUCAGCUCCACCA